UGUUAGCGGGUAAAACGGUACAGAGACCCCGGGAAAAGCACAGUGGUUUGAGGAGGAUUGUGGCUGAGGAGAUGAUGAGAGAUACGAUGAAUAGUGAGAGCGCAAUGGGGCUCUCUAAAUACCUGUAAUGAAUUGGGUCUGCCAGACGUGGCUGACAUCAGACCGAAACAGGAAUUCCCAGAAGACUCAACGACCCAAAUAUAGACUGUCCUGUUUAAAGAGUACUAAUGGAUGAAGACUGAACGCCCAAGUUUCAGUUGCCCCAGGUUCAAGCCACCGAUGUUUAAAGCUCCUACCAAAACUAUUUCUAGACAAUGGUGUAUCCUGGAGAGUGAAUCUGGGACAGAGUGCAGACUAUUGGUGGACCCUGACCAUAAGAAACUGAGGAAGCACUGGAAGCAUCAGGAAUUCUUCUAGGUUUACUCAAGGCAUACCAGGGUUGCAAGGCACCUUUGCAACAAUAUGUGCUGAAACACCAAGUAUGAACUAAAGGGGCUAAUGUAUUCCACCGAGAAAUGUUGUAAAUGGACUAAAGUUGAAUUGUAAGUGACCAGAAUUAUGUCAAUUGAAAUCCUGAUCCUUUUUGUUCUAAAUUAGAAAUGAAUGAUUAA